CUUUGAUGCCCUCGGGCUUCUCUCUGGUCUUUGGAAAACAAAUUAUUCAGGCAGGGAACUGUGUUAAAAUAUUGCUCCUGCACUAACAAUUUUGAAAUGAGAGGCCAUAAUCUGAAAUCCAUCCCCCAAGACAAGAGAGACAAAUGUCAACUUCUCUCUCAGUUCUCGUCGUUGUACUAGUCAUCUGCCUGCUGUUGGUUAAGGAGCUCAAAUAGAGCCCUGGAGUUUGACCCAAGUCCUGGUACUCCACAUCCCUCUUCACCCUCAUUCUGCAAGUCAGACACAAAAUAGCUGUGUUCAAUUGUACGGAUUCUUCAGGGAUAGCAAAAGUCCUGCCUUCUGCCCUAGGGCUUCUUAAGUGUAUUCCUUAGUCCCUGGACCUUGGAAAAGAGACUUCACUUCUGAUUCUGAAUCUAAAUAUUUAUUGAGAUGCAAAGGUAGGAUGUUUGGCCUCUUCUAGUUUCCUUCCAGCUAUAAAGUCCCAUAACGGAGUGAUUUGGUUCUGUUUGUACUGCCAUUACCUGAUUUCUA
rnacentral:lncRNA from 1 species